rnacentral:lncRNA from 1 species
GAUAUUGAUAUUGAAAUUGAAUUUGAAGUUUAAUAAUUAAUGUAGAACAAAAAUUAACUUCGACAAUCACUAAUUUAACUUCUUUUUUUCGCUCUUUUUCUUUUUUUUAGUCCGACCACCUUUCGUAACGCCUCUUUCGUAAAUAUUAUCGAUCUUCCUCCGCGCGGUUGUGAAGUGGUGUGCUCCUCUUGUGGCGUAGUUUGUAGAGGCGUCGUAGUUUCUUGCGUUGGUAGUUGAGUAGGCAGUGCGGCGGCUCUAGAAGAUGACGCUCCAGGAGUAUAAAUGUUCUGCGCUGCAUCGUUGUUGAAGAUUGGCGGAAACUCCGGUAAGCGCAAGUUCGGAUUUUGAGCGAGCAUUGCGGAGUUGUAUUGUUGGAAAAACGCCAUUUGACGAGCN